AGCCGAGGAGCUGAAAGAGAGCGUGCGCCGAGUCACGCUUCGGGCUGCGACGCAACCGCCGCUGGGCGGAGAGUUGCCGCCAACCGCCUUAACGGCCGAAACAAUGUUAAUAGCUUUCGAAGUCUGUCGGCGCGUUCCCAUUAUCGCCUCCGUGUGCCCCUCCGUCAUUUUACACGGAGUAGGUGGUCUCCAUAGUUACUUUUCAGUUUGCUGUUCCUCUCAUAACCUUUGUGAGGUAAAAGAAUCUCCGGCCUUUUACAACCCUGGACAAGCGAUGAGAUGCAGAGGAAAAGGGAACGUAGUAACAUAGCAAAUGAGGGCAAUUUUGCUUUAAGAUAGAAUGGAGCUGCAAAUCAGACAUUUCGGAACCUCUUCCUGGGCAGUAAUUGCUAUGGUUACAAGCUCAGGCGCGACAGGGCAGGUGCAAGAAUUGCCUGGGAGCCUGCUGAGCGCCGCCCACCUCUCCAUCGAGUCGCAGCCCCUCUAGUGCCUGGAAAGGUGUAACUUCUUUUCUCACUACUUUGUUUCUCAUAACACUUGGGAAAAGAUGUGUACUCCAUUUAGGCAGAAAUAACUCUCAGGAAAUAAUCAUUUUCACAAGCAGUAAUUUUGUACUGCAACCACAAGGUCCUAUUUUAUUGUUAACCUUUAAUGGUCUCACUUUUCUAUAAUUUUUGAGAGAGAGUACUGUCACUUACAAUCUUCAUCAGCAAGAAGGAAGGACUCUAAGGUUCUCUCUGGCAGUGGAGGUGGUGGGGAAGAAGAACGAUCUUGUUGUAGAUCUAUGAAAAAAAGAACAUACAAAAAAAAAAUCCUAUCAAUUGAAAGUCCUAAGUUAAGCUCCUUUUUUGAGACGAAUGUAUGAUAUUGCUUAUUUGUGGAAUCAAAAAAAAUGGUACAAAUAAACUUAUUCACAAAACAGAAAUAGA